AAUUAUUGGUUUAUUUUGUUUUUUAGUCUUUUUUAUUUUAAUAGAAAUAACUUUAUUUAUAGUAAAUUUUAUUGAAUUAAUUAUUUUAAUAAUAGUUUAGUUGUACUGUGAAGGUUAAUUUUAAUUAUUUGGAAGUAGUUUUUAUUUAAUGUACCUUUUGUAUCAGGGUUGAUUAAUUAUUUUUAUUUAUUUAAUUUUCCCGAAAUUAAGGGAGAUACGAUAAUAUGUUAUUUAAUGUUUCAUAAUUAUUAAUUAUAUUGUUGUUGUGAUGAAAAGUCAUUCGUUCUUGAAUAUCUGGUUUUCUGGGAAUUGAAUUUAAUUCAGGAUCAUUUAAUUUUAUUUAAAAGUGAAUUUAUUGUUAUGAUCUAAGUUUAAUGGGGAUAAGCUCGUUAAUAUUUUUAUAAUUAAUAUUUUUGUUUGGUUUGAGUAGGCUUAGAAUCAGCCAUCUUAAAUUUCGUUAUAGAUUCUUCUUUUUUAGAUUUUAUUUUUUAUUGAUUUAAUUUUUUACUGGAAUAUAUUAUUUAAUGUAAUAUUUUAUGUUAUAAUGAUUAGAUUAGUAUUUUUGUUAGGUUAAAUAUAGGAAUUCGGCAAUAUUUAUAUUCGCCUGUUUAACAAAAACAUGUCCUUUUGUUAUUUUUAUAUAAGGUUUGGCCUGCCCCAUGAAUUUUUUAAUGGCCGCGGUAUUUUAACCGUGCUAAGGUAGCAUAAUCACUUGUCUCUUAAUUGGGGGCUAGAAUGAAGGGUCGGACGAGAUAUAAGCUUUCUUUAUUUGAAAUUUAGAAUUUAUCUUUUUAGUUAAAAGACUAAAAUGUAAUUGUGGGACGAGAAGACCCUAUAGAUCUUAAUAAAUAUAUUUAUUGGUUUAUUUGGUUUGUUUAUUUAAUUAAUUUGUGUGUUUAUUUGAUUGGGGUGAUUUCAGGGAAUUAUAAACUCCUGUUUAUUGAUGUCAUUAAUGAAUGAAGAGUAUGAUCCAUUAUUAUUGAUUAAAAGAUUAAGUUACCUUAGGGAUAACAGCGUAAUUUUUACGGAGAGUUCAUAUCGAUGUAGGAGUUUGCGACCUCGAUGUUGGAUUAAAAUGGGUAUUAGGCGUAGCCGUUUAAUAACUGGGUCUGUUCGACCUUUAAUUUUUUACAUGAUCUGAGUUCAGACCGGCGUGAGCCAGGUCAGUUUCUAUCUUCAAUAUUAUUUUAUAUUUUAGUACGAAAGGACCAUAUAUAAGGAAUAUUUUUUAUAAUUGAUUAAUAUU
rnacentral:rRNA from 1 species